rnacentral:tRNA from 1 species
AUUGGGGUCGCAUAGCCGGGACAUUGCAAAAGACCUAAGCCCUUUAGACAGAGGUUCAAAUCCUCUCCCCAACU